UCUCUUUUAUGCCAGUUUGCCACUUUCUCCCAGGGUGCCUCUCAUGGACUAGCUACCUUGACACAUGAUUUAGUGGGAAAAAUUGAGCCCAUUUGAAUGAUUUGUGCCAAUCCCAAUAUAUACAGGCAUCACUUUCUGAUUCUUCAUUCUGUUUCUACAAAACAGAGUUCUUCGAUGAAUCAGAAUUACAAUUGGGACAGUAUUUGAGUACGGGAAUGAGAUCGUAGGACAAAUGUGAUGAUAGGUUUGUGACAUAAGAGAGGGAAUUUAGGAGUGGCUAUUAUCCUCAAAUUCCUGUAAAAUAGUAGAUGAUUGGAAGAGAAAUCUUUAGGUGCUAGUCUGGGAUCAUAAAAGAUAAGGAUUUAAUGUCUGGAAGUGAGACAGAGAUGAAGGCAGGCCCACAUCCUAACGAAGGUGGGAUAUUGUUAAAGUUAUCAAAACAUGGGUCACAUACCCAAACCAAGAAAAGGAUCCAGUCGCUAGAGAGCAGACAUUUAGACAAAUUCUUCUGAAUUCUGCUUGUGUCUUUAAUCGGACAGGAGGCCCUGGUCUGCCAUUCAUGACACUGGACUUUAAGACUCUGGAGGCUGGGAAGUCCAAGAGCAAAGCACUGGCAGGAUUGGUGUCUGGUGAGGGCUGCUGACGUCUUCUCAGACAGUGCCUUGUCACUGCACCCUCCCGGGAGGAGAAAUGCUAUGUCAUCUCUUGUUUGGAAGCCCUUUUAGAAGAGACUUAAUCCCAUCCACAAUGGCUCUGCCCUCAUGACCUAAUAACCUCCUGAAGAUUUCACCUCUCAAUACUAUCACAUUGAUGAUUAAGCUUUAACAUAUUAAUUUUGAGGGGCACAUUCAGCUGUGAAUUAGGUGUGUUCCCAAACCAUAAUAUCAGGAAUAGAUGGCAGAGUACAAAAGUUUUAUUUUUAAUUCUCUUAGUAUAAAGGAAGACUAAAAAUUAGAUUGUUUUGCAUUAUGGAAAAAGA